rnacentral:SRP_RNA from 1 species
CCGUGCUAGACGGGGAGCUAGCGGUGCCCUGUAACCCGAAAUCCGCUUAUGCGGGGUCGAAUUCCCUCCUGAGGGCGUCGGGUUACCUUUGAGGGCCCGGGACCACGGAAGGAUAGCUGGACACCAUGCAACAGACGGAUACGAACCCCGUCAGGUCCGGGAGGAAGCAGCGGUAAGUAUUGCGGUCUGUGUCAUGGUUGACUCUAGCCUUACCGACCGUGGUAACGACCUCAUAGUUGUAACCGGCUCGAAGGCGGGUGCACGG